GUCUCCUGACCUGAACUGAUUCUGCUAACAAAAAUUAGAAGGGUUUCAGACACUUUUCAGAUGGUCUAACUUAACUUAAUUUAAUUUAAUUUAAUUUAAUUUAAUUUAAUUUAAUUUAAUUUAAUUUAAUUUAAUUUAAUUUAAUUUAAUUUAAUUUAAUUUAAUCUUAUUUUAUUUUAUUUUAUUUUAUUUUAUUUUAUUUUAUUUUAUUUACAAUAAUUAGAAGGGUUUCAGAUACGUUUCAGAUGGUCCGUUAUGUUAUGUUAUGUUAUGUUAUGUUAUGUUAUGUUAUGUUAUGUUAUGUUAUGUUAUGUUAUGUUUUUUAACAGGAUGUUGUGCAAGCCACUGCUUCUGCUACAGACAUAAAUAAAGGAGGGGCCAGAUCCAUAUUUACAAGAGCAGAAAAUCACUGAGACUUGAGGGUGGACUCAUUUUACUCAGGCCACUCCUUGCCGAACAGAUUCAGGGAGCUGCAUAGGUGCUAAAAGGCCCAAACUGACCUCAGCCUUUGAGUCGGACAGCCCACUGCCACCACAACAGCAAGUCACCCAGCUGUGCAAACAUCCUUCAGGCUUUGCUGGGGAACGGCAGCCAGUAAUCCAGGGAAACAGCGGGAAGGUGGCAAAGCCUAGAAGGCAGGUUUCUGUGAUGUAGCCAACCAAACACAGUAAACGGCAACAGAAAAGUCAUCAACUGCUGAUUUGAAUAGAUAAAACUCUAGAUUUGUACAUAUUACGAUGUCAUUUUAUUAAGCUCCGCCUCUUUGGAACUUCAGAAUGCUGUGAUGUAAACUCUUAAAAACAAAGGUUCCAAAAAGAGGUUUUUGCAGUGAUGUCAUAGAACAGCUAUUUUGGGUUCCAGAAAGAACCUUUCAGUGAGCAGCUCUUCGAAGAGGCAUGUUUCACAUCGUAAUAAUCUAAAGAACCUCUUUCCACUGUGAAGAACUUUUGUGGAGUGGGAAGAUUCC
ensembl:lncRNA